rnacentral:tRNA from 1 species
AGGAUUUAAUUAUAUAGUAGAUCUAUAAAUAGUAAAAUAAUUUAGUAGCUAAUUAUUUU